GCUAAUAGGUACAUGGACGUUUAAUGCCUAUGGGUCCUAAGAAAUGGUCCAUAAAUGUUUAACGCCUAUGGGUCCUGAAAAAUGGUCCAUAUAUGUUUAACGCCUAUGGGUCCUGAGAAAUAGUCCAUAUAUGUGUAACGCCUAUAGGUCCUAAGAAAUGGUCCAUAUAUGUGUAACGCCUAUGGGUCCUAAGAAAUGGUCCAUAUAUGUGUAACGCCUAUGGGUCCUAAGAAA